rnacentral:misc_RNA from 1 species
GUUUUGAAAGAAAAUAUAAAUAUACUUGUGCCAAAAAUAUAUGUUACCCAUCUUCAUCCACAGGACAGUUUGACAUAACACUUAUUACUAGGUGAAUACUGAAGAAAAUAAGAAAAUAAUGAUAAAUAAAAAGUUGGUUUUUCAUAACUAAGAUUAAUGGGGAUUAUAUCUAGUGAAAGUCUAUUAAAUCCAUAUUUCUACAGAUUAUUCAUUUGUA